GUCACACAGCUGGUACUUCACUGAGGUCACCAUCUGCAAAACUGGGCCCUAGUUCUCCUAGGUAAGCAUACUUCUUUCUUACUAAGUCCUGUCCAUCCAGUCCCCAAAGCAUUUAUUAAGCACCUACUGUAUGCUACCAGGCUUUAGGGCAUAAACAAGAAUAAAUAGCUAUCAGUGCUCUCAAGCAGAAGAAGCAAAAAACCGCUGAAUCUAGGGCAAGGUUGUGUAGACUCUCAGGGAUGUGUAUAGACUAUCUAUAAAGGGCAUUGCCAUGGACGCCGUCCCUCUUCACUCAGACUGAUUCUUGGAGUUUGGGGGAAGGAUCCCCAGCAUCACAGAAUGUUAGAGGGGAGAGAGAGGGGAAUUUGGAGGGUGAGAAUGAUUUCUUUCCUUUACAGAGGAGAAAGCUGA